GGUCCUACAAGAUAUUCAAGGUUCAUCUUUUAUAUUCCAUAUCCCUGCCCUAGAAUCAGCCAUUUCUCCAAGUAGCCCUAGUUCUUUUUAUUGGAGAGUCGUAUUAGAAACCAAGUGUUGGGUGUGCUUGUUGUUACUGAAGCAUUGUUGGUUCUGCGAACAGAACUAUGGAAUAUAUGGCCUGACUAGAACAAAAGGAUGGAGGAAGAGCAAAUUCUCUCUUUGUCUUCAUGAGAUACUUCUCUGGUGAUUGCUAAUACAAUAAUCAACUCAAACUCUGAAAAAUCAUCUUGAUUAUUGGGCAUGAAGUGUACAUGAAUGGAUUGGAAAUGAUUAUGCCAAGAGAACCUUCUAUGUCCUAUGUGUACAGUAUCUUUGGGAAGACUUAAAUAAAACACUGACUUAUUACACUGUUACAUUAACCAAAGUUAAUUGGACUUGGAAAGGGUAGCUCAAGAGGAGCAGCAGACUCUUAAGAGGACAGCAAGUGGCUUGUGUCCUCAAGUUUGACUCACAGUCAUCAUAUGACUACAGGACCCCUAAUUGUGACUUCUGAAUUCCAGACACGAAAAGCAACAGCAAAGGGAAAA
rnacentral:lncRNA from 10 species